CGCCCCUGCCUGGCCCCGCCCCGCGUCCUGCGGGCCUGCGCUGCCAGAGCCGAGCGGGUGCAGAGUCCGGGUGCGGAGUCCGGGUGCGGAGUCUCCAGCGCCCGCCCGUACCGCCUGGCUUCCCUCCCUCCUGGUCUGCGGGGCGCCCGCCCGAGGUGCCUUAGGCGCAGGAACGCGGAUGUGAGGCAAGCGCGGGGCGUCCGGGCAGUUUCUCCGGUGGAGACAUCAGCGACAACGUCCGUGCUUCCCCUUAGCGUCCCACGUGAACCUAGUGGUCCUGCGGAGACCUGCGCUUUUCGAAGAAAGUGGUUACAAUGAAGCAGGGUACAAGAAAAACGCCACCCGGAGCACAGGACCAGGACCGGAGUCUGCAGUGGGACCACUGGAUCGCUGUUUUCCUCUUCGGAUUUGUCCCGUUACCAGGGCAACUCCUGCUGCGACAGUGGCCCACUUUAUGCUUUGAAUACAACACUCGCUGCUCUGCCACUGCGACUUAUUUUUGAAAAGGCCACGUUUCUGUCCCUCCUCUCCCCUUCCCCCUACCUAAUCUCAGGGGAAACCGGAUGGCCUUUCUUCCCCAUCCCAGGCGGAGUUGUCUGCCCUGAGUACACACCCGCCAUAGGAACAAGGUAAUCCAGACUUUGGAGGUGAUACCAGAAGACCUCAGAAAAGGCUAUCUUCCAAAUUAACAAGUGGAUUACAACUCCAGACAGAGAACACAUGGACUGUAGCCUUUGAGUCACCUGUUCCUGCAGAGGGGCAGAAUCUUAACCUCUGGGACAGAAGUCCUUGUGUUCCUUCUUUGCUAGCAAAGCAAUAAACCUUCUUUUUUCUUUUUCUCAAAA